GAUGAACGCUGGCGGCGUGCCUAAUACAUGCAAGUCGAGCGAACAGACGAGGAGCUUGCUCCUCUGACGUUAGCGGCGGACGGGUUAGUAACACGUGGAUAACCUACCUAUAAGACUGGGAUAACUUCGGGAAACCGGAGCUAAUACCGGAUAAUAUAUUGAACCGCAUGGUUCAAUAGUGAAAGACGGUUUUGCUGUCACUUAUAGAUGGAUCCGCGCCGCAUUAGCUAGUUGGUAAGGUAACGGCUUACCAAGGCAACGAUGCGUAGCCGACCUGAGAGGGUGAUCAGCCACACUGGAACUGAGACACGGUCCAGACUCCUACGGGAGGCAGCAGUAGGGAAUCUUCCGCAAUGGGCGAAAGCCUGACGGAGCAACGCCGCGUGAGUGAUGAAGGUCUUCGGAUCGUAAAACUCUGUUAUUAGGGAAGAACAAAUGUGUAAGUAAAUAUGCACGUAUUGACGGUACCUAAUCAGAAAGCAACGGCUAACUACGUG
rnacentral:rRNA from 1 species